GAUGAACGCUGGCGGCGUGCCUAAUACAUGCAAGUCGAGCGAACGGACGAGAAGCUUGCUUCUCUGAUGUUAUCGGCGGACGGGUGAGUAACACGUGGAUAACCUACCUAUAAGACUGGGAUAACUUCGGGAAACCGGAGCUAAUACCGGAUAAUAUUUUGAACCGCAUGGUUCAAAAGUGAAAGACGGUCUUGCUGUCACUUAUAGAUGGAUCCGCGCUGCAUUAGCUAGUUGGUAAGGUAACGGCUUACCAAGGCAACGAUGCAUAGCCGACCUGAGAGGGUGAUCGGCCACACUGGAACUGAGGCACGGUCCAGACUCCUACGGGAGGCAGCAGUAGGGAAUCUUCCGCAAUGGGCGAAAGCCUGACGGAGCAACGCCGCGUGAGUGAUGAAGGUCUUCGGAUCGUAAAACUCUGUUAUUAGGGAAGAACAUAUGUGUAAGUAACUGUGCACAUCUUGACGGUACCUAAUCAGAAAGCCACGGCUAACUACGUG
rnacentral:rRNA from 1 species